GAUUGAACGCUGGCGGCAUGCUUUACACAUGCAAGUCGAACGGCAGCACGGGGGCAACCCUGGUGGCGAGUGGCGAACGGGUGAGUAACACAUCGGAACGUGUCCAGUUGUGGGGGAUAACCCAUCGAAAGGUGGGCUAAUACCGCAUGAGCUGGCAACAGGAAAGCGGGGGACCCGCAAGGGCCUUGUGCGAUUGGAGCGGCCGAUGUCCGAUUAGCUAGUUGGUGGGGUAAAGGCCUACCAAGGCUUCGAUCGGUAGCUGGUCUGAGAGGAUGAUCAGCCACACUGGGACUGAGACACGGCCCAGA
rnacentral:rRNA from 1 species